rnacentral:rRNA from 1 species
GAUGAACGCUAGCGGGAGGCCUAAUACAUGCAAGUCGAACGGUAACAGGUAGCAAUACGCUGACGAGUGGCGCACGGGUGCGUAACGCGUACACAAUCUGCCUUAUACUGGGGCAUAGCCUUUGGAAACGAAGAAUAAUUCCCCAUAACAUAUAGAAGAGGCAUCUCUUUUAUAUUAAAGCUCAGGCGGUAUAAGAUGAGUGUGCGUCCGAUUAGGUAGUUGGUGAGGUAACGGCUCACCAAGCCAACGAUCGGUAGCUGGUCUGAGAGGAUGAUCAGCCACGACGGGCACUGAGACGACCGGGCCCGACUCCGUACGGGAGGCAG